rnacentral:rRNA from 1 species
GACGAACGCUGGCGGCGUGCUUAACACAUGCAAGUCGAACGGUGAAGCGCCUUCCUUUUUGGUGGGUGUGGAUGAGUGGCGAACGGGUGAGUAACACGUGAGUAACCUGCCCCCUUCUUCUGGAUAACCGCAUGAAAGUGUGGCUAAUACGGGAUAUUCUGGGUCUGUCGCAUGAUGGGUCUGGGAAAGAUAUUGUUUCGGUGGGGGAUGGGCUCGCGGCCUAUCAGCUUGUUGGUGGGGUGAUGGCCUACCAAGGCGGUGACGGGUAGCCGGCCUGAGAGGGUGGACGGUCACACAGGGACUGAGACACGGCUCAGACUCCUACGGGAGGCAGCAGUGGGGAAUAUUGCACAGUGGGCGCAAGCCUGAUGCAGCGACGCCGCGUGAGGGAUGGAGGCCUUCGGGUUGUGAACCUCUUUCGCCAGUGAAGCAGGCCUGCCUCGUUUGUGGGUGGGUUGACGGUAGCUGGAUAAGAAGCGCCGGCUAACUACGUG